AAACCUACAACACCCUCGGUAGGCAGCGAAACUUGCUUAAAGAGACUGCGAAAGCAGGACUGGACCCAAUUUACUGUUUGUAUCUCUAAUUUUAGAUUUUGUAUUUAAUUUUUGCAUUUCGUUUAUGUAAUUUUAGUUUAUUGCAAAUGAAUGAAAUUGUUCUUUGGAAUUUUAUAUUUGCCGAAUCAUAUUUUUCCUAACAAACUUAAGCAAGAACUUGAUAUUGUGAUCGGCAAUUGAAUUUCAAAAAAUAAUUUUGUUUGGGUACUAAUGUUUGAAUUGCAGAGUGAAACAUUGACUGAUUUGUAAUGUAUUACAAAUUCAGAAUUUGAACAGUAUAUUUACAGACCGAGGAGAAUUGUAUUUGAAAAAAAAAAAACUAUUCUGAAAAAAGAAAAAAAAAUAAAAUAAAAUAAAAUCUGUUAUAAUGCCAGCCAUAACCACCCUCAUGGUGAGAGUUUAUGGUUGGAAGGUACAAGGGACAUUUGGUUUUCUAUAAAUUCUAAUGCUUUGCAUUAGAAAAAAUAGACCAAGAAGGACAACAGAAAUCUGACUGGAACGUUGAAAUUGCUGUACUCCUGCCUUCAUCUUUGCAAAUGGUUUGUGAAGAUGAUCUUAGGGAUAUGAGUAUUGGAGUUGUAGGCUCGGGACUGAACGGGAGCAGCAGGAAUAUAAGAUCAGAAACAAAACGUGUCCCUUUCACUAAAACUUCUUGAUGAAAAAUUGCAUAAAUUUGGUGGUUUAAAUCUGGGUCUCCUGUGGUCCCAUGUCAUGAGAAUGAUUACGGCGACUCAGUUAUGGUACAGAGAGGUGCUACUGAAGAUGUUGACGUUAACCAGAAAGAAGUUGAGGAUCUGAAUUUGAUCCAGAAACAGCUUGUUCAAAUUGAAAACCAAUAAUCCAGUUUGUUGGACCUCCUCCAGGACCCCAGGUAUGUUACCAAAUUGUCUACCCUGUCUCUAGUUGUGUGUUUGGUAUCAUCAGUGGAUUAAAGAUCAAAUAAUUGUUAGAAAUUGGAAUUUUAGAAGGUAAUUUUGUGGGUUUUGAUUCACAUUUUGAUGGGAUAACCACACCGAGAGAGGUGGGUCCUUGAAUGUAAUUUGUACUCCUAAGUAAGGAGAGAAAAAGAAAAAAAAAUUCACAAAAUUCCAUUGAGUAAUGAAUGAGAAAUUGUCUCACAAAGUGGGGGUGUUUGGAAGUGAAUGAAUCCAUGCCCAAGCCUAUUACGAAAUUCAAACAGAAAUUUCUGUUAGAAAACUCAGCUUUAAUGCUGAGUAUGUUACAAACAGUUUUUAAUUUGUAAUAAAAACUGUUUUAAAUUGAGACAGUUUUUAUUCGGUCAUUAAACGGGAUUAAAUUGGAUUUAAUUCUAGAGGUUCCCCUAACAGUUUAAAUUGGUAUUUCUCUUUUAUUUUGAACACAAGAAAAAUACAAACACACACAGCCUUCAGCACAGAAAUUUUUACAGAGAGAGAGUUUGAACACAUUCCAUUCAUCGAUCGAACAAACCGAGUUAGGUGUGCUCCACCUUUGGCCUUAUGCCGUUUUACCCUGGGAAGACGACGCCGGCACAACCUCAACAUCUCCAGUCAGAUUCCGGUGAGGCGGCGAAUCGUUUUUAAGGGAACCGUGUGACACACGGGACUCAGUGACGGUUCUUCUAUUCUUAAUUCUCAAUUCUUGUUUAUAUUCUGUUAAUUGUUAAUUUUUUUUCAUUCUGCUUUUGAAUCUGUAAUUUAAUCUGGUUUUACUAUUCUUCUAUUCUGAUUUUUACAUUGUAAUCUAGUUUAUACAGAUUAACUGCUGUUUUUCCUUUGUAAUCUGGAAACUAGUUUUUUUUGAAUAAAAAGAUUUUGUGUCGAUUCCGUUUCGUGCGCCUUAGUUCGAAUAACAAUCUUAAAAACGAUUUGGGUUUUCAAAACCACGAAUUUCGGAAUCAAAAACAUUUUGAUAACUCGUUUUGAUCAGUUUUGAUCAUUAAAUCUGUUUUCUGUUUUACAGUUUCUGUAUAAACCAGCAAUUCUGUUUUACAGUUUCUGUAUAAAACAACAAUUCUGUUCUACAGUAAACUGCUUAUUGUUAUAUAAAACAGGAAGUAUAAAACACAAAAUUUUGUAAAUUACAAAUUUCUGGUUUUCUAUAUAGUUUUAUCAUUCUGUUUUACAGUUUUAAUGGAGCUGUUGAAAUAGGUUACUGUAAUUAAACUGUAAUUUUAAUUACAAUUAAAAAGGAAACUGGUUUUCUAAGAAUCUGUUCGGAUUUUUCAGAAAUUUUUCAAGCAAAUUUGACCAGUUUAGAGGGAGAUUUAGGGAAAUCCUAUUACACAUAAAAACGUAGAGAAUUGAAUUAUCUUUCAAACCCAUCUGGAAUCAAGUGAUUCUGAGUCUCGAGCAGAAAGUUACGGCCAGUUUUCUGGGACUGGUUCUGUAUACUCGGAAAAGAUUUUUUUUUUUCCGUUUCAAUCGUAUAUUCUGAAAUCUAAACUAAUUAUGUGUGUUAU
rnacentral:lncRNA from 1 species